rnacentral:rRNA from 1 species
AGAGUUUGAUCCUGGCUCAGGAUGAACGCUAGCGGCGGGCUUAAUACAUGCAAGUCAAGGGGUAGCAAUACACCGGCGUACGGGUGCGUAACGCGUAUGGAACCUGCCCUUAUCUGGGGGAUAACUCGGGGAAACUCCGAGCUAAUACCGCAUAAGAUAGUAGAAUGGCAUCAUUCAGCUAUUAAAGAUUUAUUGGAUAAGGAUGGCCAUGCGUAAGAUUAGAUAGUUGGCGAGGUAACGGCUCACCAAGUCUACGAUCUUUAGGGGCUCUGAGAGGAGAAUCCCCCACACUGGCACUGAGAUACGGGCCAGACUCCUACGGGAGGCAGCAGUAGGGAAUAUUGGGCAAUGGGCGGAAGCCUGACCCAGCCACGCCGCGUGCAGGAAGACGGCCCUCUGGGUUGUAAACUGCUUUUAACUGGGAAGAAAAGAGGCCUUGCGAGGCAAGUUGACGGUACCAGUUGAAUAAGCCACGGCUAACUACGUGCCAGCAGCCGCGGUAAUACGUAGGUGGCGAGCGUUAUCCGGAUUUAUUGGGUUUAAAGGGAGCGUAGGCGGCUGAUUAAGUCAGCGGUGAAAGGUAGCAG